rnacentral:misc_RNA from 1 species
AAUUCUCAACCAUGUCUUGAUCGAUUUCGAGCAACAUGGCUUGGAUUUGGGAGUUGCUGGCGACGAAAGUCGUCGGCUCUCCUUAAAUGCAUUAGCAAAGGGUUCUGCAAAGCAAUUCAAUUCAGACGUGCACGGCCUUUUGACGUGAUAAUGAUCGUCAUCGCUGGAGCGUCGAGGGUUUAAACUGUUGCUUUUGUAGAAAACAAAGCUCUUUGCUUCCAAUUCAGACCAUCAUGUGAUUCAGUUCUGAAAGGCAAAGGCAGGCUUAUUAGUCUUUGGGCUGGUUAUUAGUCAAUGAAUGUUGGCGAAAGCAGCGCGAUGGCGAAAGGCUAGCCUCGAGCUUGAAUCGAAUCGAAUUGGUGUUCAUCUUUUGAAAC